rnacentral:lncRNA from 1 species
AUACCAUAGAGAAAUAAAAAAAAGAGAGACGUCAAAGGAUAGGGAAUAACUGGCACAAUCUUUCUGCGCAGGUAAGUAGCACAUAGGGGCGCUGCUGUUUCUGAAACUAAAAUUUACCCAUGGUACAAUAAAGUAUUUUGAUUGUACCGUGAAGAAAAUUUACAUUUUUGACAAUUGACAUUGACUUUGUGUUUUUAGGACGCCAUUUUGUUGUGAGAAUUUGCAAUUUCCCGGCCCGGCAUAAAUAGAUAAUUUGGCGGUUUGUACUGAAUAUUACUGAACUGGACAUAUUUUCAUUACUGGAUAGUGCCGGAAUUGCUGAAAUUGAAUAUCGGAUUGGGAGUAUAGACAGACUCGACAAAGACAUCAACUUUUGAAAAGGAUAAUUACGAAGUACAGCAACAUUGAAGAUAACAUUAAUGUCAUUAGGAACUUGGAAUUACAGAGAAGUGAUAUAGACUAAUCAUCAUCAUCAUCAGCCCCUCUAGAUCCACUGCUGGACAUAGGCCUCCCAUGUUUGUAGACAAGUAGACUAAUAGAAUAACAAGUAUAGUGUAAGUACAUGUAAGUAGGUAGGUUAACACCUUGGCUACCGUGUGAGAUGCCAGCAUUUCACACAAAAUAUUGACUGUAAUACCGUGUGAGACGCUGGCUUCCAUUGUUAUUAAAUGAUUUAAAAUGCUCUAAAGCGAGAGUUUUUAGUUUCUCAUAUUGGUUUCAAAAUAAGGAUAAAAUGGUACAAAAUUACAGGUUAUUAGUUUAAGUGAUCGCUAACCAAGGUGUUAAACGUUAAUAAAGGUAUGGUAGUUAUAUUGUAUGUAGGUACAGUUGAGUCCAUGGUUCUCAUUAAUACCUGGAGAGAUAAAACACAUACUUUUUACUUAGCACCAUUGUGUUCCACACAUGACACUAAAGACAAACCAGCUACUGCCUGUUAUUAAGUAAACAUACAUGUUAUUUUUAUGAACUUUCUAGAUUCAGUACAUCGAAAAAAUAGAGGUGCAAAAAAGACGCUUGGGGACGUUUUCAGAUUUAAGUACAAUUUACAACAUUUCUGGUUUGUUUAUUGUUUGUUUUUCACAACUAAUUUUAUUUUGGCAUUAAUUUACAUACAAAGUUCACCUUAUUCACACAGAUUGUCAUAACCACUUUCUGCCAAUGGACUCGACUGUAAAAUUAGUUUAUCAUUUUAUAGUGUAAAUACAAAUAAAAAACUAGUAUUGUAACAAAAGUCAGUGUUUUGUAAGUAGGUAGGUUAAAUAUCAAUAAAGGUUCUGUUUAGUUACAAUUUAUAGUGGUUAUAUUGUAUGUAGGUAAUAUUAGUUUAUCAUUUUGCAAUGUCAAAUUCUAAAUCCAAACCCAGUAAAUAUGUUCACGGAUGUUUAGCUUCCUAUUGUAAUAACAAGUAUUUUCAUCCUGUCACAGACCCAGAGUAUACAAAUAAAAAGUUUUUUAGAUUUCCAGAUAAAGAUUUAAAAAGACGUCAUGACUGGUUUGAAAUUAUUGGUAUUGAAUUUACUGAAACUAGGUGUUAUUUAUGUGAAGAUCAUUUUGAGGAAACACAAUUUACAAGCAGUUUAAAAACAAAACUAUUAAAUAAUGCAGUGCCCUCCAAAAUAAUUCACAUAUCCAAUGUUCAUGAUCAACUUUUGCCUAUACCUGCACAUUCUUCUGAUGAAAUCUCUGUUUCAAAUGUACACAUUUUUAGUAACAAAGAAAUAGUUCCUCCAUUAAUAACCCAGUCAAGAAUAAACGCUCAAUUUCCAGUCAGCAUGAUAAUGAGUAUAGUAUUACACCUAAUUUAGACCUAAACACCUAAACUUAUUACACCUAAACAUUAGAAAAAAAGCCGCAACUCGAUAAAACUGCCUUGUCGAAAAAACACUAAGAGCCGAAAAGUUUUAAAAAUAUUGAAUUUAACUAAUGGUAUCACCAUAAUAAUUUAAUUGGAACGUACACAAGAGUUUGGGGGGUUUAAGGGAACAAAACCCCCAUAAAAUUUUUAUGGGGUACACAAAUUUCACUAUAAUUUUUCUUUAAGAUAUUCCUGCCAUAAAAAUGCCACAUGUCCAUUUUCAAUAAAAAAUCUCUAAUAGUUUUCAAUAUAUUCGAAAAAAUCGAUUUUCAUUUUGUAACUUCAAAGGGCUGUAACUUUUUUUAUGUGUAUAUUUGUAAUAAGGUAAGUUAGGUUCAUUCAAACUAUUUUUGGUCAAAGAAUAGGUGAUUUAGUUUAUGACCUGUAUUUUUGUUACACUCUGUAUAUAUGUAUCCUAUUUUUCUAAAAAGUUCUGAGGGAAAUGUAGAAUAACUUAUAAGGUUUUUUAGGCUACUAGACAAAUUUGUAAUAUAUAUCUGCAUUUUGUAAAAGAUAAGAUAAUUAAAGAAUAAAGAGCGGGGACAUGCAUGCAUUUUGUGUUGAUCUGUGUUUUACAUCAUUAUUUCAAAACAAUUUUACUGCAUAGAUUUUCUUAUUUUGUCUUAUCAGCACUCCAUACAUGCAUGCGGUAAGUGGGGGGUCCUCGUGAGGAUUAAUAAAAAUAUAAUAUAUGUAGUUUUUUUCCCAGUGUUUAUAUUAUUUUCUAUUUUUCUGAAAGUUCUGAAAAAAAAUAUUUUUCUUUAGAUAUUUUUAGGCUACUAAUCAAACUAGUAAUAUCUGCAUUUUGUAAAAUAUAAGAUGAAUAAAGAGGUCGCCGUGAAGAUUAAUAAAAAUAAAA